AAAAUUUAAUAUGGCAGACCCUAAAAGUGCAUUGGAUUUAAACCUCAAACAUAAAGAUUUUCUUUUAUUAAAA
rnacentral:tRNA from 1 species